GUAACAAGGUUUCCGUAGGUGAACCUGCGGAAGGAUCAUUACCGAGUGCGGGCCCUCUGGGUCCAACCUCCCAUCCGUGUCUAUCUGUACCCUGUUGCUUCGGCGUGGCCACGGCCCGCCGGAGACUAACAUUUGAACGCUGUCUGAAGUUUGCAGUCUGAGUUUUUAGUUAAACAAUCGUUAAAACUUUCAACAACGGAUCUCUUGGUUCCGGCAUCGAUGAAGAACGCAGCGAAAUGCGAUAAUUAAUGUGAAUUGCAGAAUUCAGUGAAUCAUCGAGUCUUUGAACGCCACAUUGCGCCCCCUGGUAUUCCGGGGGGCAUGCCUGUCCGAGCGUCAUUGCUGCCCUCAAGCACGGCUUGUGUGUUGGGCUUCCGUCCCUGGCAACGGGGACGGGCCCAAAAGGCAGUGGCGGCACCAUGUCUGGUCCUCGAGCGUAUGGGGCUUUGUCACCCGCUCCCGUAGGUCCAGCUGGCAGCUAGCCUCGCAACCAAUCUUUUUAACCAGGUUGACCUCGGAUCAGGUAGGGAUACCCGCUGAACUUAAGCAUAUCAAUAAGCGGAGGAAAAGAAACCAACCGGGAUUGCCUCAGUAACGGCGAGUGAAGCGGCAAGAGCUCAAAUUUGAAAUCUGGCCCCUCCGGGGUCCGAGUUGUAAUUUG
rnacentral:rRNA from 1 species